rnacentral:tRNA from 1 species
ACCUGGUGGCUCAGUGGGAAGAGUGUGUGACUCUUGAUCUCAGGGUUGUGAGUUCGAGCCCCACUUUGGGUG